rnacentral:snRNA from 1 species
AUACUUACCUGGCAGGGGAGAUUCCAUGAUCAUGAAGGUGGUUUUCCCAGGGCGAGACUUAUCCAUUGCACUCCAGAUGUGCUGACCCCUGCGAUUUCCCCAAAUGUGGGAAACUCGACUGCCUAAUUUGUGCGGU